UACGUAGGGGGCUAGCGUUGUCCGGAAUCAUUGGGCGUAAAGAGCGUGUAGGCGGCCCGGUAAGUCCGCUGUGAAAGUCGGGGGCUCAACCCUCGAAUGCCGGUGGAUACUGUCGGGCUAGAGUGCGGAAGAGGCGAGUGGAAUUCCUGGUGUAGCGGUGAAAUGCGCAGAUAUCAGGAGGAACACCAAUGGCGAAGGCAGCUCGCUGGGACGGUACUGACGCUGAUGCGCGAAAGCCAGGGGAGCGAACGGG
rnacentral:rRNA from 1 species